GGUUGCGAUCAUACCAGCACUAAUGCACCGGAUCCCAUCAGAACUCCGCAGUCAAGCGUGCUUGGGCGAGAGUAGUACUAGGAUGGGUGACCCCCUGGGAAGUCCUCGUGUUGCAACCC
rnacentral:rRNA from 1 species